UGGGUCUCCUGAAUACAGCACACCAAUGGGUCUUGACUCUUUAUCCAAUUUGCCAGUCUGUGUCUUUUAAUUGGGUCAUUUAGCCCAUUUACAUUUAAGGUAAAUUUUGUUAUGUGUGAAUUUGAUCCUGUCAUUGUGAUGCUAGCUGGUUAUUUUGCCCAUUAGUUGAUGCGGUUUCUUCAUAGUGUUGAUGGUCUUUACAAUUUGGUAUGUUUUUGCAGUGGGGGAAAAAAGUAUAUUUUAUCUUCCUAUGUAAGCAUUGCCCUAGAGAUAAUGGGGGCUUUUUGGGAAAGGCUUACCCCAAAGUGGUUUUCCUAUACUCAUGCUAUUUCAUGAAAUAUAGCAGGAAGGAUUUAUUAUUCCAAUCUCAGUGAAAUCUUGGGAGGAACAACCCGUAAAAUCAUUUAUCAACCACUUAAACCUCAUACAUUUUUAAUAUUGAUAUGAUCAUAGAGUUGACUAACUUUGUACCUGUACAGGUGGUGCCUGUAUGGUGGGGAGCUGUGAGCCAAAGGGAGAAGACAAAGUGACACAGGUGACAGCCACGAUUUUCUACCCAGGUGCGUUCUGUUGUCCCUGUUGCUCUGCUCUCUACUUCCCUUCACUUCACCCUCCUCCUUACCUACCUUGCAUUUUUGAGUGAAACUAAGUUCACUGAAACUUUAUAAUUAUUUUGAAUUUAAGAAUGUUUGCAAUGAUUGAAAUUCUCAAAUUGGAAUUGCAAAUUAAAUGACCAAAUCUAACUGCUGGCUGUCAUUUUCUUCUCCCUUCUCCCCAUGACUCCCCUACCCAACUCAAUACAUAUACAUAAAUUACCUACCACUUGCCAAGCAACUUGCAGGGCUGGAGAAUGCAGAAGUGGGCGACUCUUGGACUCUACUUUCCAGCAAUAGACUAACUGUUAAAGAGGUAAUUACUAAGCUAUAUCAUGAGAGCCAUGUUAGAGGAGAGCAAAACAAAACAAGGAUGGGGAGGAACAGCUGCAUGUUACAUUUGUAAUAAGAAUAGAGUAUCAUAAAUUCUGUGACAGCAUAAUACAGUGGAGCAUAAGAGCA
rnacentral:lncRNA from 1 species